UGGAUUCUUGGUGAUUCCUGGAUCAUGAGGUUGCAGAAGUUUGCAGGAGAGCAAGAAGUACACCAUGGCAUGGGGAUUGCUGGCUACAGGCUGAUCUGGGGUGUCCAGUUUCGAAACCUGAUGUGAUCUCCCAGCUGGAAUGAGGGGAGGAGCCGUGGGUCCUGGAUCUCCAGGGCUGUGAGGAAGGAGAGAUCCCCAGAGGUGCCUGCACAGCAGGUGCUGGGAUGGUGAGUGAGGAGAAGAAGCAGAAUGCUCAGCAGGAAGAUACUGAGCAAGUGGCACCACAUGGGGGAUUAUAGCACGGCUCCAUAGGGAAUGUGUCCCGGCAUCGUGUGCAGGGCAAAGCCUGUGAGAGUCAGUACAGGCCAGAGAGGGAGCAGAGAAACUAGCCAGCGGAGAAAGUGGGUAACUCCAUCAAUUGUCAGGGAACUCACCAGGACCUCCUGGAAACCACAGCCCAGCCGAGAAUACCCACAGGAGAGCGAAAAAACACAUGCACUGAGUGUGGGAAACAUUUCACUAAACACUCAGGCCUUUUAAAACAUCAGAGAAUCCACACAGGAGAGAGACCCCAUGAAUGCAGUGAGUGCUAGAAAACCUUCACUCUGAGCUCUACCCUUAGUAACCAUCAGAGGAUCCACACAGGAGGGAAACCCUAGGAAUGCUGUGAGUGUGGGAAAAGCUUCACUGUCAACUCAGACCUUAUUGGACAUCAGAAUAUCCACAAGGGAAAGAUACCUCAUCUGUGCUCUGAGUAUGGAAAAACAUUCACACAGAGUUCA